rnacentral:rRNA from 1 species
UACGGAGGGUGCGAGCGUUGUCCGGAAUCACUGGGCGUAAAGGGCGCGUAAGCGGCCUGAUAAGUCGGGGGUGAAAUCCUGCGGCUUAACCGCAGGGCUGCCUUCUAAACUGUCAGGCUAGAGCACAGUAGAGGCAGGUGGAAUUCCCGGUGUAGCGGUGGAAUGCGUAGAGAUCGGGAAGAACAUCAGUGGCGAAGGCGGCCUGCUGGGCUGUUGCUGACGCUGAGGCGCGACAGCGUGGGGAGCAAACAGG